rnacentral:rRNA from 1 species
UACGUAGGGGGCAAGCGUUGUCCGGAAUCAUUGGGCGUAAAGCGCGUGUAGGCGGUUCGAUUAGUCUGCUGUGAAAGUCGGGGCUCAACCCUCGAAUGCCGGUGGAUACUGUCGGGCUAGAGUGCGGAAGAGGCGAGUGGAAUUCCUGGUGUAGCGGUGAAAUGCGCAGAUAUCAGGAGGAACACCAAUUGCGAAGGCAGCUCGCUGGGACGUUACUGACGCUGAGACGCGAAAGCGUGGGGAGCAAACAGG